GCGUAAAGAGCUCGUAGGUGGUUUGUCGCGUUGUUCGUGAAAUCUCACGGCUUAACUGUGAGCGUGCGGGCGAUACGGGCAGACUUGAGUACUGCAGGGGAGACUGGAAUUCCUGGUGUAGCGGUGGAAUGCGCAGAUAUCAGGAGGAACACCGGUGGCGAAGGCGGGUCUCUGGGCAGUAACUGACGCUGAGGAGCGAAAGCGUGGGGAGCGAACAGGAUUAGAUACCCUGGUAGUCCACGCCGUAAACGGUGGGUACUAGGUGUGGGUUUCCUCCUUGGGAUCCGUGCCGUAGCUAACGCAUUAAGUACCCCGCCUGGGGAGUACGGCCGCAAGGCUAAAACUCAAAGAAAUUGACGGGGGCCCGCACAAGCGGCGGAGCAUGUGGAUUAAUUCGAUGCAACGCGAAGAACCUUACCUGGGUUUGACAUGCACAGGACGCCGGCAGAGAUGUCGGUUCCCUUGUGGCCUGUGUGCAGGUGGUGCAUGGCUGUCGUCAGCUCGUGUCGUGAGAUGUUGGGUUAAGUCCCGCAACGAGCGCAACCCUUGUCUCAUGUUGCCAGCGGGUAAUGCCGGGGACUCGUGAGAGACUGCCGGGGUCAACUCGGAGGAAGGUGGGGAUGACGUCAAGUCAUCAUGCCCCUUAUGUCCAGGGCUUCACACAUGCUACAAUGGCCGGUACAAAGGGCUGCGAUGCCGCGAGGUUAAGCGAAUCCUUUUAAAGCCGGUCUCAGUUCGGAUCGGGGUCUGCAACUCGACCCCGUGAAGUCGGAGUCGCUAG
rnacentral:rRNA from 1 species